UGGAAGUAAAAGUCGUAACAAGGUUUCCGUAGGUGAACCUGCGGAAGGAUCAUUAAAAAAUGUGGUACCAAUUAUUGGUACUAAUUAAUCAUCCUACCCUUUGUGAAUUUGUUUGUAUGAAUUUUUUUAAAUGGGUCUUUCCCUAAGUUGGAUUGUUAGUAAAAUACAAAAAGACUUAGGGGAAUGACUUUUUUAAAAGACUUUUUUUUAAUUAAAACUUUUUGUAUUCAUUUGUCUAAAAUUUAUUUUUAUAAUAUAAAAACAACUUUUGACAAUGGAUCUCUUGGUUCUCGCAACGAUGAAGAACGCAGCAAAAUGCGAUAAGUAGUGUGAAUUGCAGAAUACGUGAAUCAUCGAAUCUUCGAACGCAUAUUGCACUUUUUUAGUUUACUAAAAAAGUAUGUCUGUUUGAGUAUCAGUAAAAUAUUCUCACAAAAACAAUUUGUUUUUUGUGGUUAUGAGUGCUUUACAACGAUAAACAAGUUGUUUCACUUUAAAUUCUUUUUAAUUGAAUUUUACCAAUUCAUAAAUUAAAAUUGGAUAAAAUUUUCCUUUAACGAGGAAUAACCUAAACAAUUUUAAAUUUUAUGGAUUAAUAAACAUUCAUCAAAGGAAUCUAUACAACAAAUAACUUGAUCUCAAAUCAGAUAAGAGUACCCGCUGAACUUAAGCAUAUCAAUAAGCGGAGGAAAAGAAACUAACAAGGAUUCCCUUAGUAACGGCGAGUGAAGCGGGAAGAGCUCAAACUUGAAAUCUUCAAGGUUUGACCUUGACGAAUUGUAGUUUAUAGAAGUGUUUUCUGUUGGAGUUUUGGUAAAAGUUCUUUGGAAUAGGACAUCAUAGAGGGUGAGAAUCCCGUAUUUGACCAUGACUUUCCAGCUGUGUGAUACACUUUCAAAGAGUCGGAUUGUUUGGGAAUGCAGUCCAAAAUGGGUGGUAAAUUUCAUCUAAAGCUAAAUAUUGGCGAGAGACCGAUAGCGAACAAGUACCGUGAGGGAAAGAUGAAAAGAACUUUGAAAAGAGAGUUAAACAGUACGUGAAAUUGUCAAAAGGGAAGCGUUUGACACCAGUGUUGUUUUCUCGAAAAUCAAUUUAAUGAGUUCUUGUUUUUAAGUUAUUGUGACUUUAUCAGCGCAUUUCUUAUUUUACUUGACUCAUUGAAUGCACUUUUCGUUUAACAAGUCAACAUCAAUUUCUUUGGUGGUAAAAAGUUUAAAGGAAGGUGGCUUGGACUUCGGUUCAAGUGUUUAUAGCCUUUUUUCUAUGCCAUCGGAGAGAUCGAGGUCUGCAGCGUAGAUCCUUCGGGGUUAGAUACCUUUGUGCUAAGUUAUAGUUUUUUAUAGACAAC
rnacentral:misc_RNA from 1 species